GGGCGGGUAGCUCAGCUGGAUAGAGUGUCGGCCUCCGAAGCCGAAGGCCGCGGGUUCGAAUCCCGCCUCGCCCACCA
rnacentral:tRNA from 1 species